UCCUGACACAGGGAGGUAGUGACAAGAAAUAACAAUACAGGGCUAUUUUAGUCUUGUAAUUGGAAUGAGUACAAUUUACAUCUCUUCACGAGGAUCAAUUGGAGGGCAAGUCUGGUGCCAGCAGCCGCGGUAAUUCCAGCUCCAAUAGCGUAUAUUAAAGUUGUUGCAGUUAAAACGCUCGUAGUCGGAUUUCGGGGCGAACCCGCCGGUCUGCCGUUGGGUAUGCACUGGUGGGCGCGUCCUUCCUUCCGGAGACCGUUCCUACUCUUAGCUGAGCGGGGACGGGAGACGGAUCGUUUACUUUGAAAAAAUCAGAGUGUUUCAAGCAGGCAUUCGCUCUUGCAUGGAUUAGCAUGGGAUAAUGAAAUAGGACUUUGGUGCUAUUUUGUUGGUUUCGAACACCGAAGUAAUGAUUAAUAGGGACA
rnacentral:rRNA from 1 species